AGAGUUUGAUCCUGGCUCAGGACGAACGCUGGCGGCGUGCUUAACACAUGCAAGUCGAACGGAAAGGCCCUGCUUUUGUGGGGUGCUCUAGUGGCGAACGGGUGAGUAACACGUGAGUAACCUGCCCUUGACUUUGGGAUAACUUCAGGAAACUGGGGCUAAUACCGGAUAGGAGCUCCUGCUGCAUGGUGGGGGUUGGAAAGUUUCGGCGGUUGGGGAUGGACUCGCGGCUUAUCAGCUUGUUGGUGGGGUAGUGGCUUACCAAGGCUUUGACGGGUAGCCGGCCUGAGAGGGUGACCGGCCACAUUGGGACUGAGAUACGGCCCAGACUCCUACGGGAGGCAGCAGUGGGGAAUAUUGCACAAUGGGCGGAAGCCUGAUGCAGCAACGCCGCGUGCGGGAUGACGGCCUUCGGGUUGUAAACCGCUUUCGCCUGUGACGAAGCGUGAGUGACGGUAAUGGGUAAAGAAGCACCGGCUAACUACGUGCCAGCAGCCGCGGUAAUAC
rnacentral:rRNA from 1 species